GGCUGAUUAGUUAAAUUAUAAUGUAGGCUUGUCAAGCCUAAGUUAUCCAAAGGGGAUAUCACCCG
rnacentral:tRNA from 1 species